rnacentral:rRNA from 1 species
UUUAUUAGAUCGUGCGUUCUACGUGGAUAACUGUGGUAAUUCUAGAGCUAAUACAUGGCAACUGGCCCUAACUUACGGAGGGGCGGUUUUAAUAGAUCAAAAUCAAUUGGGGUUGGCCGUUUUCGUGAUGACUCUGGAAAUUUGUGUGCCGACCGCAUGGCCUUGGUGCCGGCGGGGUAUUUUUCAAAAGUUUGCCCUAUCAAAUUUUGAUGGUAGGUGAAAUGCCUAACAUUGUUGUAACGGGUAACGGAGAAUCAGGGUUCGAUUCCGGAGAGGGAGCCUGAGAAACGGCUACCACAUCCAAGGUAAGGCAGCAGUGCGCGCAAAUUACCCACUCCCGGCACGGGGCAGGUAUUGACGAAAAAUAACAAUGCUGAGUUUUAAAUUCGGUAAUUGGAAUGAGUACACUUUACAGCAGCCGCGGUAAUUCCAGCUCCACGAGCAUCUACGUAAGUGACCGGUGGUCUGCGGAUACGGGUAUGUACUGCCGUGUCCGGUCUACGUCUGGUAAUAUUCGAUAGUGCUCUUAACCGGGUGCUAUGUAAUGCCAGAAAGUUUACUCUGAAAAAAUUAGAGUGCUUAAAGCAGGCCUUGAGCUUGAAUACUGUUGCAUGGAAUAAUGGAAUAGGACCUCGGAUCUAUUUUGUUGGUUUUCGGAGUCGAGGUAAUGAUUAAGAGGGACAGACGGGGGCAUUUGUAUUGCGCCGUUAGAGGUGAAAUUUUUGGAUCGGCGCAAGACGAACAACUGCGAAGCAUUUGCCAAGGAUGUUUUCAUUAAUCAAGGACGAAAGUCAGGGGUUUGGAGACGAUCAGAUACCGUUGUAGUUUUGACCAUAAACGAUGCCAACUGGCGAUCCGCCGUAGUUUGGNUUAAAGGAAUUGGCGGGCAGCCUCCGGGAAACCUAAGUUUAUGGGUUCCGGGGGGAGUAUGGUUGCAAAGCUGAAAAUUAAAGGGAUUGACGGAAGGGCACCACCAGGAGUGGAGCCUGCGGCUUAAUUUGACUCAACACGGGGAAACUCACCCGGCCAGGACACCGUNAGGAUUGACAGANUGAGAACUAAUUUCU